CCUACGGGUGGCAGCAGUGAGGAAUAUUGGUCAAUGGGCGCGAGCCUGAACCAGCCAAGUCGCGUGAAGGAUGAAUGCCCUACGGGUUGUACACUUCUUUUAUCAAGGAAUAAAGUGAGGCACGUGUGCCCUUUUGUAUGUACUUUAUGAAUAAGGAUCGGCUAACUCCGUGCCAGCAGCCGCGGUAAUACGGAGGAUCCGAGCGUUAUCCGGAUUUAUUGGGUUUAAAGGGAGCGUAGAUGGGUUGUUAAGUCAGUUGUGAAAGGUUGCGGCUCAACCGUAAAAUUGCAAUUGAUACUGGCAGUCUUGAGUACAGUUGAGGUAUGCGGAAUUCGUGGUGUAGCGGUGAAAUGCUUAGAUAUCACGAAGAACUCCGAUUGCGAAGGCAGCUUACUAAACUGCCACUGACAUUGAUGCUCGAAAGUGUGGGUAUCAAACAGGAUUAGAUACCCGUGUAGUC
rnacentral:rRNA from 1 species